GGCCAACGUGGCUGUCUAUUACUCACUGUUUCUACUUGCGUUUGUGUUGGUAAACGUUGCUGUGUUGGCUAAUAUGUUAUCAUAUGAUCUGAUUUAACUGGUGCUGACUAAUUAGAAGAUAGUGGUAUCGAUGGAAACUAGAUAAUGCUAAACCGCCGUCUAUGCGCGCAGAGACCACAGCAAGUAGAAACAGUGAGUAAUGGACAGAUACGUUAGUCCAGUGCUCGAUUACACGCGCGCCGAAGGACUUCGAACUCGGUUUUCUUGACAACAAAGACUGGAAGAUGAAACGAGUCCGACCCGCAUAGCUUCAUUUCCCCAGACAUCUUGGUUGCGCCUACCGCGUGUCGAUGGAAACGCGCCUUACCGGCACCGGUAACCCGUUAGUCUUUCCACUGGCAGCGUUCAAAUUGGUUGCCAAGUCGCUUCUACGACGGGGUAGCUACUUAAUUUCUCGAAAUCGUCGACCCGAUACGCUCUAACCGAAUUACGCGCGAAAAUCGGGGCGGAGAACCCAACGUCAGUGUAAUUAACACGCAGGCAACGUGAUAAUUAACGACUGACACGUCGAUCACGCGUGACUGAGAUUAAUACUUUGGUUUUCUACUCGAAAGAAAGUGUAUUUAUAGGAAAUCGUAAAUUAGUAUCGUUAGGGCAAACAUCCAAAUUGUAAAAUAUGUUUUGAAAUAUCAAUAUUGUAAGUACGUGUUGUUUAAAAUAAACAGAUUUUCAUAAUUUAUAUAA